rnacentral:lncRNA from 1 species
CAAAAUUUAUAAGUUACGACAUGUCGCAACUAACAAUUUAAUAAAAAUAAUUUGUCGAAAUCUUAUAAAGUUAAUGAAAAUAAGUGAAAAUAAGCCAAUAUCAAAAUUUAGAAUUUGACCUUGACCUUUGACCUUGACCUAAUUUUCAUUUUUUUGGAUCAAGGAUCUUAAAUCAAAAGACCCUAGGUCUCUAUCACUUAUGGUUUACCAGUUAGAAAUGCAUAUCACUUAUAUCAUAUAUAAAAGGGGGGAUAACUCUCAUAUGGAGUGUCCAGAUAGCUUCGGUCAAAAUGAAACAGAACAUUCUGAGGAUAUAACGAGCAAUUUGGAAAAAUAAAUUUGUCGGUUUCUUUUACGGUUGCGAAUAUUAAGCGAUAACAAGAAAAACAGUAUUUGGGGAGAUAACUCUUACAUUGAAAAGAUUUUGGUUACACAAUAUGAGUCACAAAAGCGUAAUAACUGUUCGAUAUCAUAUACCAUAUGUCUAAGCGACAUCUUUCGAAACAAAAAAACUGAUAAUAAUUAAAAACCAAUUGUUCAGAGAACAAUUGAAGGUCUUUCAACCAAUAAGGAUCUAUUUAGAUAUGAAAAUAUUAAAAUUCAGUUGAAAAUGUCAGUUCCUAUGGCUUAAUGAUGUAUAAAUAUGAAUUUCAAGCAAAGGUCAAAAUCUAGAACGUCCAAUUAACCUAUGACCUUGACCUCAAUUUCAAGGUCAUAAACCAAGGAUCCCAAAUCAAAAGACCCUUGGUCUGUAUUAUGUAUGGUUCAUGAGUAAUAUCACUUUACGCAUAAUUCUAAAUGUAAGAGGGGCGAAAACUCCCAUUUAUUGUCUACGCACCCUUGCAACCAAAAUUUAUAAGUAACGACAUGUCGCAACUAACAAUUUAGUAAAAAUAAUUUGUCGAUAUCUUAUAAGGUUAAUGAA